UGCUAUUCCGACAGGUGCUGUUGGUAGAA
rnacentral:piRNA from 1 species